rnacentral:siRNA from 1 species
GUAAUAAAGAAGGUCCGCCGUA